UUUAUACCUUUUGGAGUUUCUGUUUUAAAAAAUUGUCCAAUAAAUCCCAAUAAUAAUAGUAAGCUAAGCGGACAGAGGAAUAAUCUAGAAGGCUAGAACCCUCUCAUCUUGCCUCCCAUUUCGAUCGAUCCCACAGGAGAAAAACUCCUAGUCGUGCUUCGAAAUCGAUGUCGAUCCCGCCAUCUUCAACGUCGGCCUCUUCAGCUUCGCAAUUCACAUACACGACAACGACGCCAACAGCAAAUGGUUCGUAUUUCCCAAUGCCCUUUCACCUCCAGCAAUCGGUCCAAACUUACGCGGCUCCGCCGGCGGUCCUACCGGCAGUAGCGCCUGUUUACCCCGCCCCUGUCGGACCCGUCUAUUCUCUUCCUCAAUAUCAGCAGGCACAGCAGUUGUUUCAAAGGGAUGCACAAACGAUUACCCCUGAAGCUCUUGAAAGUGUGAAAGCAGCCCUUGCCAGUAGUGAGAUUGAGCACAAACAAGAAACCAAAAAGAAAGCAGUUCCUCGAAAAGCUGCUGGCCAGACUUGGGAGGACCCAACGCUUGCCGAGUGGCCUGAAAAUGAUUAUCGACUUUUUUGUGGUGAUCUUGGUAAUGAGGUGAAUGACGAUGUUCUUUCAAAAGCAUUUUCCAGGUUUCCUUCCUUUAACAUGGCCAGAGUCGUCAGAGAUAAGCGAACUGGCAAAACCAAGGGCUAUGGAUUUGUUAGCUUUUCCAAUCCUACUGACCUUGCAGCAGCACUUAAGGAGAUGAAUGGUAAAUAUGUUGGAAAUAGGCCCAUUAAGCUGCGGAAGAGCAAUUGGAGGGAAAGGACAGACUUUGAAGCUUUAGAAAGACAAAAGAACCACAACUUGAAGAAACCGAAGCUUCCUAAGAAGAGUAUACUGCACAAGUAAGACAUAGAAUGACCAUUCCUAUGCUGUCACCAAAAGGUCCAACGGAGCAGCAUUCUCAGAUGGUUGUCAUUUUAAUUUCCUUUAUUUGUGUCCUUCGCCGGUUGAUGCUAAGCCAAGCAGAUGUAGAGUUAUGGGAUUGUAUGUGCCAUUUUAAGUAAAUUACACCUUUUUAAAGCUUCCUGCUCUUUUACUUUGCAUUUUGUGUGGGUGAGGGAGGAAACUGGCUUUUGGUUUUGGGUUGCUGUAUUUUUGCCUUCUUCAAGCUGAAGCACAUUUCAACCUUUCUUAAGGUUUCCAAACGGCUGGUUCCUAAUUCACACCCUUUCUGUCAA